AUAGGAGGUCCAGCCUGCCCAGUGACUACGGGUUCAACGGCCGCGGUAUUUUGACCGUGCAAAGGUAGCGCAAUCACUUGUCUCUUAAAUAGAGACCUGUAUGAAUGGCUAGACGAGGGCUUAACUGUCUCCCCCCUCCAGUCAGUGAAAUUGAUCUAUCCGUGCAGAAGCGGGUAUAAUUAUACAAGACGAGAAGACCCUUUGGAGCUUAAGGUACAAAAUUUAACCACGUUAAACGACUCUGUAGAAAGCAAGAACUUAGUGGCGAAUGAAGUUUUACCUUCGGUUGGGGCGACCACGGAGGAGAAAGAAGCCUCCGAGUGGAAUGGGUUAAACCCCAAAGCUAAGAGAUACAUCUCUAAGCCGCAGGACAUCUGACCAAAAAUGAUCCGACUGAUAAAGCCGAUCAACGAACCAAGUUACCCUAGGGAUAACAGCGCAAUCCUCUCCCAGAGUCCAUAUCGACGAGGGGGUUUACGACCUCGAUGUUGGAUCAGGACAUCCUAAUGGUGCAGCCGCUAUUAAGGGUUCGUUUGUUCAACGAUUAAAGUCC
rnacentral:rRNA from 1 species